GCGCUCGUAGCCCAACGGCAGAGGCACCACGUUUAGGUCGUGGCCAGUGAGAGUUCGAAUCUCUCCGAGCGCACCA
rnacentral:tRNA from 2 species